AUGAGAUAAAAAUUAAAAACCUAGUAUUUCUGGGAAGUGUGGGUCGCGACCAGGAGGCAAGAACAAGAGGGAAACCCUAACCUCAUCAAUUAACAUCAAAAUUCAGCAAAAUUGUGAAGGAUUCUAGUCAUAAAUCGAAUGCUUGUGCUUAAUUAUUCUCUAAUCCAAGUGUUAUGAGCAUAAGGAUCGAAAGAAGAAGGAGCUAGUUCCGGAUCACAACCAAAGGCUCAAGAUCGAGGUAAAGCACAAGUAUAGUUGUCAUUGCGUCGCUCGGAUACGAACACACCUUGAUCACCCGUGAUGCGCUUCCGCCACUUUUGUAGUAACUUUGAAAGUUAAAAGCUUUUGUUAUAUUUAGUUGUGUUUGAAGUUUUAAACUUUAACUAGAUGUUUGUAAAUAUUUAAGUAUCUAAAACUUGAUGUUUGAAAUGGUAGUUUGAAAUGCUAUGGUCUUCUUGGUGUUUUACGGAAAAUGUCGUUAUUUGAGUAUUUUGAUAAAUUAUAAACAGGGAAAUUGUUCAAGAUAUGAACGGGUCAUGCCCAAAUUUUAAAUUUUGGCGAUUUUGUUAUGUGUCGUUUUGUAACUUUCCAAGCAUGAAUUUAGAGGGUGUCACACUUGAUUUCAUAGAUUUACAACUCUUAUGGCUCUUUUGACAUUUGGUCGUGUGACCAUUGCAACGAGUUCAAUGAACACGACAAAGGUACUACAAGUUGCUGACAUGCUUAUAUUUAAUUUGUUUUUAUAAGAGCCAUAGAUUAGCUUAAAUUCUAUUUAGUAAUAAUUUAUUUUUUGUCUAUUCGAUAAGCUACUCUCAAUAGACGGGUCUUCUCUAUCAAAGGCGGCUUUUACCUCUUGUAGCAAAGACGUGCAGGGCUGGUCCUAGACCAAUUAUUUUGAAGCUAGAACUUUGGGACCCAAAUCUAAAAGGGUCACAUUUUUUAAAAAUAAAAUAUUAUAUAUCUAAGGUUUCCAAGAGUUGCUUGUUGUAACCUUGAGAAUCUGAAUGGGCGCUACGUAGGUUGAUGUUUCUGAAAUCCAAAAGUCGUCGACCACCCAAUUUGACAAUUCCAUACUCAUUUGGCGGCUGCAACAAAUGGAUUUUUUUUAACAAGGCAACCCAUAUUGAUAGUGUAUUAGUAUGUAUUUUGCUUUCGUACUUCAUUCACAAUGUGUUGACAAUUAUUAUUUUGACCUUCAUCCAUUAUUAUGAGCGUUGGUGAAAGGCUUGUAGCUCUCGAAGUGGGUUUAGUUGAUGCGAAAAUGGCCAUUGGGAAAGGAUAACUUGGAUUUGGUUAUUGCUAGGUUUAUCUUUUCCAUGGGGAGAUUGAAUAUCACUAAGAAUUUUUGAUAAUAUGAGGUCCACUAUCAACAGGACCCAAGAAACUGAUUAAAAGAUCUGGAAGAACAUUGAAAGUAAGAGAUCUGAGUAGUCUCCCCUCAAGAUAAUUAUCAAGUCUCUAAGGUUUGAUCGAGACCAAUUUGCUUCUUUCUUCAUACUAUCUGCUUAUCAGUUGCAAGUAAUCAGAAUUUAUCAUCUCUUUUUUCGUUCAUAGAUUUGGUUCGUAAUAAUUCCAUAGACUGGAAACAUAACAAUACAUUUCAAACUUUUUCCAGGAAGCUGGGGAAGUGGUUAGAGAGUAGUGAAGUGGGAAAAAGACAUUUCAGAAUAGAUCAGGACGACAAAACCAUUCAACCUUGAUCGUACUAGACGGAAUGUAACAAACAAUUGGGUUCUACUUUAUGUGAAACCGUAUUGUUCAUAAUUUGUUAGCUCGACAAUUUGUAAAGCCCGGCCGCAACACGGCGGGGGUUAAACCUAGUUAAACUUAAAUUUUAGUACAAGAGUUUUUUUUUUUGUAUGAUGUUGAUUGAUCUUGAUGUUUUAAAUUACGACUU